rnacentral:lncRNA from 1 species
CUGAUAUGUCCACAUCAUUAAAUAUCUGCGACCGCACGCGGUCGCAGAAAGCAGUCGCUGAUCAACUAAAAUAAAUCAGUCUCAGGCUCGCGACAUCAGUAUCACAGAAGAAAAAAAAAGAGGGAGUUACACAGACGAGUGAGAAGAGGGAGUAGGGGGGAAGAGAAUCGACCACUGCCGCACUACCGCACCACCGCACCACCGCACCACUGCUC